rnacentral:misc_RNA from 1 species
GGUAAUUGCUAUAAAUCGUUGAAAAGUUCCCUCGACUAUCUUUCGUCUCCAUCAUCAGACUUUAAUGGCACUUGUAACUCAUAUAGGUGCAAAGUUCUCAUCAAUAGAAACGAAUUAAGUUCAAACAGCAGUUAAUUGCUAUAAAUCGUUAGAGUUCCCUCGACUAUCUUUCGUCUCCAUCAUCAGACUUUAAUGGCACUUGUAACUCAUAUAGGUGCAAAUUUCUCAUCAAUAGAAAC